rnacentral:rRNA from 1 species
UAGCGAAGGGGGCUAGCGUUUGUUCGGAUUUACUGGGCGUAAAGCGCACGUAGGCGGAUCUUUAAGUCAGGGGUGAAAUCCCGAGGCUCAACCUCGGAACUGCCUUUGAUACUGGCAAUCUCGAGUCCGGGAGAGGUGAGUGGAACUGCGAGUGUAGAGGUGAAAUUCGUAGAUAUUCGCAAGAACACCAGUGGCGAAGGCGGCUCACUGGCCCGGUACUGACGCUGAGGUGCGAAAGCGUGGGGAGCAAACAGGG